rnacentral:rRNA from 1 species
CAGCACCUCAAGUGGUCAGGAUGAUUAUUGGGCCUAAAGCAUCCGUAGCCUGCUUUGUUAGUUUUCGGUUAAAUCCAUACGCUCAACGUAUGGGCUGCCGGGAAUACUGCAAAGCUAGGGAGUGGGAGAGGUAGACGGUACUCGGUAGGAAGGGGUAAAAUCCUUUGAUCUAUUGAUGACCACCUGUGGCGAAGGCGGUCUACCAGAACACGUCCGACGGUGAGGGAUGAAAGCUGGGGGAGCAAUCCGGAUUAGAUACCCGAGUAGUCC